rnacentral:rRNA from 1 species
GACGAACGCUGGCGGCGUGCUUAACACACGCAAGUCGAGCGGUAAGGCCCUUUCGGGGGUACACGAGCGGCGAACGGGUGAGUAACACGUGGGUGACCUGCCCUCAGCUCUGGGAUAAGCCUGGGAAACCGGGUCUAAUACUGGAUAUGACUCCAUGACGCAUGUUGUGGGGUGAAAGCCUUGUGCGGCUGAGGAUGGGCCCGCGGCCUAUCAGCUUGUUGGUGGGGUGANGGCCUACCAAGGCGACGACGGGUAGCCGGCCUGAGAGGGCGACCGGCCACACUGGGACUGAGACACGGCCCAGACUCCUACGGGAGGCAGCAGUGGGGAAUCUUGCGCAAUGGGCGAAAGCCCUGACGCAGCGACGCCGCGUGAGGGAUGACGGCCUCGGUU